GAGACACGGCCCAGACUCUACGGGAGGCAGCAGUGGGGAAUUUUCCGCAAUGGGCGCAAGCCUGACGGAGCAACGCCGCGUGUGGGAUGAAGGCCUGUGGGUUGUAAACCACUUUUCUCAGGGACGAACACAACGACGGUACCUGAGGAAUCAGCCUCGGCUAACUCUGUGCCAGCAGCCGCGGUAAGACAGAGGAGGCAAGCGUUAUCCGGAAUUAUUGGGCGUAAAGCGUCCGUAGGUGGUCUAGCAAGUCUGGGGUUAAAGCCCGGAGCCCAACUCCGGAUCGGCCUUGGAAACUGCCAGACUCGAGUAAGGUAGGGGUUGCGGGAAUUCCCGGUGUAGCGGUAAAAUGCGUAGAUAUCGGGAAGAACACCAGCGGCGAAAGCGCGCAACUGGGCCAUUACUGACACUGAGGGACGAAAGCUAGGGGAGCGAAUGGGAUUAGAUACCCCAGUAGUCCUAGCCGUAAACGAUGGUGACUAGAUGUGGCUCGUAUUGACCCGAGCCGUGUCGUAGCUAACGCGAUAAGUCACCCGCCUGGGGAGUACGCACGCAAGUGUGAAACUCAAAGGAAUUGACGGGGGCCCGCACAAGCGGUGGAGCAUGUGGAUUAAUUCGAUGCAACGCGAAGAACCUUACCAGGGCUUGACAUCCUGCGAACCCCGCUGAAAGGUGGGGGUGCCUUCGGGAGCGCAGAGACAGGUGGUGCAUGGCUGUCGUCAGCUCGUGUCGUGAGAUGUUGGGUUAAGUCCCGCAACGAGCGCAACCCGCGUCCUUAGUUGCCAGCAUUUAGUUGGGCACUCUGGGGAGACUGCCGGUGACAAGCCGGAGGAAGGUGCGGAUGACGUCAAGUCAGCAUGCCCCUUACCGCCCUGGGCGUCACACGUGCUACAAUGGCCAGCACAAAGGGUAGC
rnacentral:rRNA from 1 species